AUUGUGUGGCUCCCUGAGGUGAACUGCUGGUUGGCUGGCUCAGGUGAACCAUUGAAUGGAUGAGGUGAACAGCUGGCUUCCUGAGGUGAAUGGCUGAUUGGCUGAGGUGAACGCCUGGCUGACCAAGAACUCCACCACAUAGGUAAAAUGGACAUCAUUGAACAGCUGGUGUGCAGUGUCCAGAUUGUCAACAUCCAGCAACCCACUACAGUACAACUACAGUGUUUGGGGAGGAAAAAGUAUAAUAAUGAUAUUGUGAAAGAAUGAAGAAAAGGCCAAGAUAAAAUGGAUGAAAUGGCAGAAAAGAGACUUGAAAGAAAGAUAAUGAACAAGAUAUAAGAAGAAUAAAGGAAAACAAGAAAUGAUGAGAAAAAGAAGGAACAGAGUAAUUGACACAAGAUAAAAGAUAUAACGCAAAAUUAAAGUAAAAUACAUAAAUCAUUACAUUUACUUGUUUAUAAUUAAUGUGAAUAUAAAAUGUUGAGUGUUACAAUAAUGGUCCAGGAGAAUAAGUGUCACUUUAUGCCAUGAAGUGUCAGGGCAUUUAGUGUCUCAGUGCCAUUAUAAGUAUCUAAUACAUAAUUGCCCUACAUAUUUACCUUCACAAAAACCUAUAACACUUGUGGACACACUGUAACCUUUCAUUCUGUAUAUGAAGGAAAAGUCGUGAGCAAAAAUAGACAGAAAAUAGGUGAAGCGGCCCAGUAAGGGCAUGAAACCAGGGUACAAUCGGUGAGUGUGAGUGUCACUCACGGUGAGAGGUGGAAGGUGGUGCAGGCAAGAGAACAACAGCAACAGGUGUGUACAUUCCCAUGGCCUCUUGUGUACAGUAUAUAUACACCCUGCAACACCACUUCAACCCACACUCAACCAGCGUGAGCAGCACAUCUACCACAAGAUGAAGGUAGCAGCAUUGUUCCUGUGUGGCUUGGCUCUGCACAGCCAGCCCUCCUGGGAUCACUU